GCAGCUUUCAAAGACAGCUAUGAGGGGGAAUUCUCUCAGUGUGCAGGGCUUCACGCACUACACUUGGUCAUCAAAUUCAUGUUGAAAGAGAUGCAGCCUCAGCCUCAGUUUGGAAUAUACACAGACGGGUAGGUGCUGAAGGGCACAGACAGAUCAUCAGAGGCCUAGUGGGAGAGAAAUUAGGAGAUCAUAGACAAGGAUAUCUGGAGUAGUGUUGUGUAGAUGACACUAUGGGAGAAGACACAAUGUGGGAAGAUCUUUCAGUUGCAGGUUAACACCUACCAGAAAUCAUCUAUUUUGGAAGAGGCACUAGACAGCCAAGUAGAUGGACUGACUCAGCCACUUGAUGCCAGCCAGUUUCUGUCAUUGGCCAUUCCAGUGCUGCUGAAAUGAACACAUGAAAAGAGUAGCUUUAGUGUCAGAGAUGUUAGGUUAUGCUCGGGCCCAACAGCAUGGGCUCCCAUUCAUCAAAGCUGGUCUAGCUCCAGGUGCUGCCGAACAGCAAACUUGCCAGUAACAAAGAUGACAUCUUCAUCCCCAAUAUUGCAUCAUUUCUUCAGGAGAUCAUCCCAUCACUAAGCGGCAAGUUCACCACAGUCUACUUCUUUCAUCUUGCCAGGGUCAGUGGUUCAUUUUUGACAGUAACAAAUUCUGAACAUGAAUUUGCUUUUUCUGUCCCCAUGGUUUCAGGCAACACUGUUAUCUGAAUGCUUGCAGAGUGUCAGAUCCAACAACAGCAAUUUCACUUAUAAUUAUGUCAGGCAGAGGGACAAACCUUAAAACCAAGCAGGUCCAUCAGUGGGUCCAUAAUGACAGGAUCUGCUGGUCAUAUCACAAGCCACACCACUCUAUUGCAUCAACCUGAUAGAGUGCUGAAACAGCCUGUUGAAACACAACGGAGGUGUAGGCCCAGACAUGCUUCCCUGUGAGAAUGAGACAGCACUCUCCAGGACAUAGCAUCUAUCCUGAAUCAAUGAGCAUUCGCGGGCUCUGGGUUCCCGAUAAACAGAAUACAUAGAUGAGAAACCAAAGUCUAGAAGCAAGAGUGGCCUCUGUUACCAACAUUCCCAGUGACCCACUGGAGAAUUUGUGCUUCUUGUUCCUGCAACUCUGGGGUCUGUGGGUUUAAAGAUCUUGGUUCCCAAAGGAAGAACAUUUCUGCCAUGAACACAUCAUCAUUUCCCUUGAAUCUAAGCUGUGGUAGCUUCCUGGACACAUUAAAUUUCUCAUGGCAAAGGACAAAAGGACAAGAAAAGCAGUCACCAUCCUAACAGAGCAAGCAGCACAAAGUACUAUGUUG
rnacentral:lncRNA from 1 species